rnacentral:tRNA from 1 species
GGGGAUAUAGCUCAGGGGUAGAGCGCUCCCUUAGCAUGGGAGAGGGCUGAGGUUCGAUUCCCCAUAUCUCCA